GACGAACGCUGGCGGCGUGCUUAACACAUGCAAGUCGAGCGGAAAGGCUCCUUCGGGGGUACUCGAGCGGCGAACGGGUGAGUAACACGUGAGUAAUCUGCCCUUGGCUUCGGGAUAACUACCGGAAACGGUGGCUAAUACCGGAUAUGACCACUCCUUGCAUGAGGUGGUGGUGGAAAGUUUUUUCGGCCAGGGAUGUGCUCGCGGCCUAUCAGCUUGUUGGUGGGGUAAUGGCCUACCAAGGCUUCGACGGGUAGCCGGCCUGAGAGGGUGACCGGCCACACUGGGACUGAGACACGGGCCCAGACUCCUACGGGAGGCAGCAGUGGGAAUAUUGGACAAUGGGCGAAGCCUGAUCCAGCAACGCCGCGUGAGGGAUGACGGCC
rnacentral:rRNA from 1 species